GAUCCUGGCUCAGAAUCAACGCUGGCGGCGUGCCUCAGACAUGCAAGUCGAACGAUUAAGACUCCCUUCGGGGAGUGUAUAAAGUGGCGCACGGGUGAGUAACACGUAAGUAAUCUACCUUCGAGUGGGGAAUAACGUUCGGAAACGGACGCUAAUACCGCAUAAUGCAGCGGCAUCGCAAGAUGACAGUUGUUAAAGGAAUUUAUUUCGCUUGAAGAGGAGCUUGCGGCAGAUUAGCUUGUUGGUAAGGUAACGGCUUACCAAGGCUACGAUCUGUAUCCGGCCUGAGAGGGCGGUCGGACACACUGACACUGAAUAACGGGUCAGACUCCUACGGGAGGCAGCAGUCGGGAAUUUUGGGCAAUGGGCGAAAGCCUGACCCAGCAACGCCGCGUGAGGGAUGAAGUAUUUCGGUAUGUAAACCUCGAAAGAAUAGGAAGAAUAAAUGACGGUACUAUUUAUAAGCUCCGGCUAACUACGUGCCAGCAGCCGCGGUAAUACGUAGGGAGCAAGCGUUGUUCGGAUUUACUGGGCGUAAAGGGCGCGUAGGCGGCGUGUUAAGUCAGCUGUGAAAUCUCCAAGCUCAACUUGGAACGGCCAGCUGAUACUGAUGUGCUAGAGUGCAGAAGGGGCAAUCGGAAUUCUUGGUGUAGCGGUGAAAUGCGUAGAUAUCAAGAGGAACACCUGAGG
rnacentral:rRNA from 1 species